CAGACAGACACACGUUAAGAGAAAAAAAGAGACCGAUCUGGACAGACAACUGAUCGCUGGCACCACAAGUGAAGCCCGCUCGGACACAGAGAAACGCCAGACCAAUUUAUCUACAUGCCUCAUACACUUGGAAUUUGCACUGCCCAGUUUGCUGCACUCAAAAAAUAUAAAAAAAUCAUCACUGUUUCCAAUCAGUAUAGUUGAAUGACAUUCAGAAAAAGCUAAGAUUUAAGAGGUUCUUUCAGAGGCUACUCUAGCUGAGUUCAAUUUCUUACUGCAUCGGAGAACCAGGUAGAGAACAGUGCAACGUGCAGGGGUGGAAGACUGAGUUGGUUAACGAUGAGUUUUGAGCUAAAUGGAAGUCUAGUGAAAACAAGAAGCAGUGGGAAGGAAGAAGUGGCCUGGAGCAUCGAGGAAAGCUCCCUCCCUUGCCCCUUAGCUUUCUAAACAGUUUCAUUUAGGUUAACAAGCUAACAGCUAAGGGGCAAACAGACAGUACGAUUCACCAAAGAAUGCAAGUUUCUGAUCAGGGUGGACAAAUGUUUAGAAUAUAGGGCAUUAUGGAAUCCUCAAUGGUGGUGUCAGAGGUGAUUCUGCAAAAUCAAUGGGUAGCCUGCCAUCAUCAGGUCUUUGGGAUGAGGAAGCAGCUGAGAAGAGGGCUCAGAAAGGGGAGCAGAAAGGCAACAAAGACCAAACCAUUCCCAGUUUGUCUGCUGCCCUGCCAACAAAACCACCACUGAAAACGUGCUGCUGAUGCGAAAGAUCGCAGGCCUAGCGUGUCCGGCUGAACCUCCCCUAAUUCAGCCUCAAGUAUCUGAACUGGUCCCUCUAGCUUGGCAAGAGGACCCCCUUCAAUUUAUCUCCCUCUUUUUCUGAGAAAUGGUGUGAGGGAGGAAAAAGGAAGAGAAAAACUUCUCCUCCACUUUAUUGUAAGUAGAAGAUUUUCCCUAUUUCCUGAGAAUUUCACAAAGAUUUUCUUUUCUUGAAUUUAAAGAAUGGUGAGCCUCAAAGAAACCGCCCAGUCAAACACUUAUGGGAGAAAUGAGGGAGAUGAAGCAAAGCCUAGGUCCUGUGUUCUACAACACAUUUCCCCAGUAGUAAAUGAAACAAGUCCAGGGACCUAAAAGUCUCAGCCAAACAAAUCUCACCUCUCAAGAAGUGGAUCCAGCUGCAGCCACCUGUUAACAGUUUCACGGUCAAAAGCAGUGUUAAACAUGGACUUAUAAGAGAACUUUAAUGUAAUGGAAUAGAACAUAUAGGUUGCAUAAGCCUAGAAAAAUAGGGAUACUGUAUUUGUAGCUCCAUAUAACUCAAAGAAAAGCAUCAGCCAAUAAUCACUUAGCUUCUACAGUAUUGCUAUGUAGAAGACAAAGACAGACAUUAAUGAGACUAUUUGAAAAGCUCCAAGUUCAUCAAAGUAUUAGAUAUCCCACAGAUCCUAAAGUCGCUCUUAGUGAGUACAUACAAAGAAAAACUAUAGUACCAUGUAGCUCACCCAACUGUUGAUCUUUUAGAUGCUAAGAAACUUUGCAGAUUAGACAAAAGUAUUUGCUGUACUGCAGGUCAGCAGACCACUAUUAAAAUGUGGAUCAAGGGCUCUCACCAACACAUCAUUCUGACUUAGCUAAAGCUGUGCUAUGCACUUACAGAGUGACCCAUCCUGUAAUGGGCAUCUGGGUAGGAGUUCAGCCUGGUGGGAAUCUAGAGUGAAGCACUUAGGCUUGUCUUAAGAGAUCAGUACUAGGACAGAUAAUCAACAGCGGCAUUAGUAGGCUUCUUCUGGGUUGGUGACAAUUCUAUCCCUCCUUCCACAGCAAAAACACACUACUGGCACUUGUGAAAUACAUGGCCAAGGUCAAUGGCAUGAUAACAGAUGAUGUAUUAUGAGUACAUUAGAUGUUCAUAUGGUAGGCUGGACCUGAGGUCAAGUACUCAGGCUGUAUUAGUAUACAGAUGAAGCCUUGGUUGUGGUAUGUGACACUAAACCUAACUAGAAUUUGAUCAGCCUUGUGUACAUUAGUUUGAAACAAAACAGAUGCCAAAUUACAGCAGACACCAAGUACAUUAAAGAUGACUAUGCAUUGGUAAUUUACACAUAAGUAAGCUAACUCAAAAUCUACAGUCUAAGCCUGAAGGAUAGUCUUUCUGGGCCUAAGACCUGUAAGGUACCUUGAUGUACUGGCUUGAACUAGGCUGAUGGGUUAAAAUUUUGAUUCAACACUCAGUCUUGAGAGCACAUGGACAUCUAUGGCACAGACUUGUUGUUGUUCUAGUCACACUGAAAUAAAUAUGCCACUUUUUAUUUUUUUCAGUACUCAGGAAAUCCUACAAGACUGAAGAAGCCCACGUCUGGCUGCCAUAAGGAAUAGCAUCUCCACAGACUUCUUGCCAGUCUCCCAUCUCAAUCCCCACUAGAAGAAAACAAGCAGAUUUUCGUCAAGACGGAGCGCUUCCCACAAUUCUGUGAUUAGCCUCACAACCGCUCAGCUCCCAAACCAGACUUCCAACAACAAGCUGCCCUCCUCUGCAGUGUCUCCUGAAGAACCAACCCUAUAACAGCAAGUGCGGCUUAAAGAGAGAACAAGAAAAAGGGAACUUCACUAGUUCAGCCACGUGUCUCUUUGACCUCCAGGGCAUAUAGUUAAAGGCUAUAAGAUGACUUCAAAGACACUAGGGAACCAAGCUCACCUCCUGCCAAGGAGCACUGGGUGUCAUACUGCCACCCUGUG